UACGGGGGGGGUAAGCGUUGUUCGGAAUUAUUGGGCGUAAAGAGCUCGUAGGCGGUGUGUCGCGUCGGCCGUGAAAACCUGCAGCUUAACUGUGGGCUUGCGGUCGAUACGGGCAUCACUGGAGUUCGGCAGGGGAGACUGGAAUUCCUGGUGUAGCGGUGAAAUGCGCAGAUAUCAGGAGGAACACCGGUGGCGAAGGCGGGUCUCUGGACAUUUCCUGACGCUGAGGCACGAAAGCCAGGGGAGCAAACGGG
rnacentral:rRNA from 1 species